rnacentral:rRNA from 1 species
GAUGAACGCUAGCGGCAGGCUUAAUACAUGCAAGUCAAGGGGGUAGCAAUACAACCGGCGCACGGGUGAGUAACGCGUACACAACAUGCCAUAUACUGGGGUAUAGCUUUGGGAAACUGAAGGUAAUCCCCCAUAAUAUUGCGGGUAGGCAUCUAUCUGCAAUUAAAGUUUCGACGGUAUAUGAUUGGUGUGCGUUCCAUUAGCUAGUUGGUAGGGUAACGGCCUACCAAGGCGACGAUGGGUAGCUGGCGUGAGAGCGCGACCAGCCACACUGGAACUGAGACACGGUCCAGACUCCUACGGGAGGCAGCAGUAGGGAAUAUUGGACAAUGGGCGAAAGCCUGAUCCAGCCAUGCCGCGUGAUAGAUGAAGGCCCUCUGGGUUGUAAUAUCUUUAUCUGGAGAACUCCUCUAUUCUUAGAGGCCUGACGGUACCAGAGGAAUAAGCACCGGC